rnacentral:rRNA from 1 species
UACGUAGGGCGCGAGCGUUGUCCGGAUUUAUUGGGCGUAAGGAGCUCGUAGGCGGCUUGUCGCGUCGACCGUGAAAACUUGGGGCUCAACCCGAAGCCUGCGGUCGAUACGGGCAGGCUCGAGUUCGGUAGGGGAGACUGGAAUUCCUGGUGUAGCGGUGAAAUGCGCAGAUAUCAGGAGGAACACCGGUGGCGAAGGCGGGUCUCUGGGCCGAUACUGGCGCUGAGGAGCGAAAGCGUGGGGAGCGAACAGG